UACAUGUUAAUUAGAGGUCUUAUAUUUGC
rnacentral:sRNA from 1 species